rnacentral:rRNA from 1 species
AUAAGCUGUGAGUAUCGCAUGAUACAAGCAGAAAAGGAGCAAUCCGCUGAUAGAUGAGCUUGCGUCUGAUUAGUAGUUGGCGAGGUAACGGCCCACCAAGACGAUGAUCAGUAGCCGGACUGAGAGGUUGAACGGCCACAUUGGGACUGAGACACGGCCCAGACUCCUACGGGAGGCAGCAGUGGGGAAUAUUGCGGCAAUGGAGGAAACUCUGGACGCAGUGACGCCGCGUGCAGGAAGAAGGUUUUCGGAUUGUAAACUGCUUUUAGACAGGGAAGAAGAAGUGACAGUACCUGUAGAAUAAGCUCCGGCUAACUACGUGCC